rnacentral:rRNA from 1 species
GGUUAAGCGACUAAGCGUACACGGUGGAUGCCCUGGCAGUCAGAGGCGAUGAAGGACGUGCUAAUCUGCGAAAAGCGCCGGCGAGGUGAUAUGAACCCUUGACCCGGCGAUGUCCGAAUGGGGAAACCCAGUGUGUUCCGACACACUAUCGUUAACUGAAUACAUAGGUUAACGAGGCGAACCGGGGGAACUGAAACAUCUAAGUACCCCGAGGAAAAGAAAUCAACCGAGAUUCCCCCAGUAGCGGCGAGCGAACGGGGAGCAGCCCGGAGUCUGAAUCAGCUUGUGUGUUAGUGGAACGGUCUGGAAAGUCCGACGGUACAGGGUGAUAGUCCCGUACACGAAAAUGCACUUGCUGUGAACUCGAAGAGUAGGGCGGGACACGUGGUAUCCUGUCUGAAUAUGGGGGGACCAUCCUCCAAGGCUAAAUACUCCUGACUGACCGAUAGUGAACCAGUACCGUGAGGGAAAGGCGAAAAGAACCCCGGCGAGGGGAGUGAAAAAGAACCUGAAACCGUGUACGUACAAGCAGUGGGAGCACCUUCGGGUGUGACUGCGUACCUUUUGUAUAAUGGGUCAGCGACUUAUAUUCUGUAGCAAGGUUAACCGUAUAGGGGAGCCGAAGGGAAACCGAGUCUUAACUGGGCGUUAAGUUGCAGG